CGUGUAGGCGGUUAGGUAGGUCCGUUGUGAAAACUCGAGGCUCAACCUCGAGACGCCGAUGGAAACCAUCUAACUAGAGUCCGGAAGAGGAGAGUGGAAUUCCUGGUGUAGCGGUGAAAUGCGCAGAUAUCAGGAAGAACACCCGUGGCUAAGGCGGCUCUCUAGUACGGUACUGACGCUGAGACGCGAAAGCGUGGGGAGCGAAC
rnacentral:rRNA from 1 species